rnacentral:misc_RNA from 1 species
UUGAGGCCCUCGCCAACUUCA